rnacentral:lncRNA from 1 species
GAUAAGGUUUUUGAAAAUAGGGAGGUGGGGUGCUCUGUGUGAUAAUGUUUUGAAGAGGGAGGUUUGGGGGUGUCUGUGUGAUAAUGUUUUGAAGAGGGAGGUGGGGGUGCCUCUGUGUGAUAAUGUUUUGAAGAGGGAGGUGGGGGUGCCUCUGUGUGAUAAUUGUUUGAAGAGGGAGGUGGGGUGUCUGUUGAUAAUGUUUUGGAAGAGGGAAGGUGGGGGUGGCAUCUGUGG